AAUGAACGCUGGCGGCAGGCCUAACACAUGCAAGUCGAACGGAUCCUUCGGGAUUAGUGGCGGACGGGUGAGUAACGCGUGGGAACAUACCCAAAGGUACGGAAUAGCCUCGGGAAACUGGGAGUAAUACCGUAUGUGCUCGAAAGAGGAAAGAUUUAUCGCCUUUGGAUUGGCCCGCGUUGGAUUAGGUAGGUGGUGGGGGAAUGGCCUACCAAGCCGACGAUCCAUAGCUGGUUUGAGAGGAUGAUCAGCCACACUGGGACUGAGACACGGCACAGACCACUACGGGGGGCAGCAGUGGGGAAUCUUAGACAAUGGGGGAAAGCCUGAUCUAGCCAUGCCACGUGAUCGAUGAAGGCCUUAGGGUUGUAAAGAUCUUUCAGGUGGGAAGAUAAUGACUGUACCACCAGAAAAAGCCCCGGCUAACUCCGUGCCAGCAGCCGCCGUAA
rnacentral:rRNA from 1 species